rnacentral:rRNA from 1 species
AUAAGUAGGCGGUGGAAAAUGAACCAAAUGGGAUUCCUUAAGUAAUUGCGAAUGAACAAGGAAAUGCUCAGCUUGAAAAAUGGGGCCUUUGGCUUUGAAUUGUAAUUUUGAAAUGUAUUGCCAAUGGAGGCGCAGGUGCAAGCCUAUUGAAAGAAAGCGUCAAUGAGGGUGAGAUUCCUUUUUGUCAUUUGCAGUCCUCCGUGCACGGUAUAUAUUUGACGAGUCACACUCCUCGGCAUUGGAAUGCAAAGUGGGUGGUAAAUUCCAUGUAAAGGUAAAUAUAUUAUUGAGACUGAUAGCAAACAAGUACCAUGAGGGAAAUAUGAAAAGGACUUUGAAAAGAGAAUUAAAAGAGUCUGCAUUUGCUGAACAGAAAGCAAACAGAAUUGAUUUUACUUGGUGAGAUUGUUGUGCUUACUCUAUCAUUUAUAUGGUUGAUGUGGGUGCGAUGGUUCUUACCUUGAAUGUCAGCUUCUAUUUCUGCAAAUCAUUACCCUUGCACAUGAAUGGUAAUUUGCCUGCGGGUAUUGGAAUGCAUGUGUUUGCAAUGUAUUUGUGAUUUGACGCAUGUGUUUGGUGAAAUUUGUAUAUGCUCUUUUGCUCGAAGGGGAAAGCUUACUUUUUUGAGCAUUGCAAGCCCUUACACAUCAGUGCUGGCAA